rnacentral:rRNA from 1 species
UGACCGCUGGCGGCGUGCCUAAUACAUGCAAGUCGAGCGAACAGACGAGGAGCUUGCUCCUCUGCCGUUAGCGGCGGACGGGUGAGUAACACGUGGAUAACCUACCUAUAAGACUGGGAUAACUUCGGGAAACCGGAGCUAAUACCGGAUAAUAUAUUGAACCGCAUGGUUCAAUAGUGAAAGACGGUUUUGCUGUCACUUAUAGAUGGAUCCGCGCCGCAUUAGCUAGUUGGUAAGGUAACGGCUUACCAAGGCAACGAUGCGUAGCCGACCUGAGAGGGUGAUCGGCCACACUGGAACUGAGACACGGUCCAGACUCCUACGGGAGGCAGCAGUAGGGAAUCUUCCGCAAUGGGCGAAAGCCUGACGGAGCAACGCCGCGUGAGUGAUGAAGGUCUUCGGAUCGUAAAACUCUGUUAUUAGGGAAGAACAAAUGUGUAAGUAACUAUGCACGUCUUGACGGUACCUAAUCAGAAAGCCACGGCUAACUACGUG